UACGAAGGGGACUAGCGUUGUUCGGAAUCACUGGGCGUAAAGCGCACGUAGGCGGAUAUGUCAGUCAGGGGUGAAAUCCCGGGGCUCAACCUCGGAACUGCCUUUGAUACAGCAUAUCUUGAGUCCGAUAGAGGUGGGUGGAAUUCCUAGUGUAGAGGUGAAAUUCGUAGAUAUUAGGAAGAACACCGGUGGCGAAGGCGCACAUCUGGCCCGAUACUGACGCUGAAGCGCGAAAGCUAGGGGAGCAAACGGG
rnacentral:rRNA from 1 species